rnacentral:rRNA from 1 species
UACGUAGGGUGCGAGCGUUGUCCGGAUUGACUGGGCGUAAAGCGCACGCAGGCGGAUGCGCGCGUGGGGUGUGAAAUCUGGCCGCUUAACGGCCAGGCGCCAUCCCAUACGGCGCGUCUGGAGCUUUGCAGAGGUCGGUGGAAUUGCCGGUGUAGUGGUGAAAUGCGUAGAUAUCGGGAGGAACACCUGUGGCGAAAGCGGCUCACUGGACCAUAACUGACGCUGAUGCACGAAAGCUGGGGGAGCAAACAGG